UGGGGAAUUUUGGACAAUGGGCGAAAGCCUGAUCCAGCAAUGCCGCGUGUGUGAAGAAGGCCUUCGGGUUGUAAAGCACUUUUGUCCGGAAAGAAAUCCUUGGCUCUAAUACAGUCGGGGGAUGACGGUACCGGAAGAAUAAGCACCGGCUAACUACGUGCCAGCAGCCGCGGUAAUACGUAGGGUGCAAGCGUUAAUCGGAAUUACUGGGCGUAAAGCGUGCGCAGGCGGUUUGCUAAGACCGAUGUGAAAUCCCCGGGCUCAACCUGGGAACUGCAUUGGUGACUGGCAGGCUAGAGUAUGGCAGAGGGGGGUAGAAUUCCACGUGUAGCAGUGAAAUGCGUAGAGAUGUGGAGGAAUACCGAUGGCGAAGGCAGCCCCCUGGGCCAAUACUGACGCUCAUGCACGAAAGCGUGGGGGAGCAAAACAGGAUUAGAUACCCUGGUAGUCCACGCCCUAAACGAUGUCAACUAGUUGUUGGGGAUUCAUUUCCUUAGUAACGUAGCUAACGCGUGAAGUUGACCGCCUGGGGAGUACGGUCGCAAGAUUAAAACUUAAAUGAAUU
rnacentral:rRNA from 1 species